rnacentral:rRNA from 1 species
GAUGAACGCUGGCGGCGUGCCUAAUACAUGCAAGUCGAGCGAACGGACGAGAAGCUUUGUUCUCUGAUGUAAGCGGCGGACGCGGGAGUAACACGUGUGUAACCUACCUAUAUGACUGGGAUAAAUUCGGGAAACCGUAGCUAAUACCGGAUAAUAGUUUGAACCGCAUGGUUCAAAAGUGAAAGACGGUCUUGCUUUCACUUAUACAUGGAUCCGCGCUGCAGUAGCUAGUUGGUAAGGUAACGGCUUACCAAAGCAACGAUGCAUAGCCGACCUGAGAGGGUGAUCGGCCACACUGGAACUGAGACACGGUCCAGACUCCUACGGGAGGCAGCAGUAGGGAAUCUUCCGCAAUGGGCGAAAGCCUGACGGAGCAACGCCGCGUGAGUGAUGAAGGUCUUCGGAUCGUAAAACUCUGUUAUUAGGGAAGAACAUAUGUGUAAGUAACUGUGCACAUCUUGACGGUACCUAAUCAGAAAGCCACGGCUAACUACGUG